UUAUUCUAGCGUGCUAACAAUGGGAUAUA
rnacentral:piRNA from 1 species